rnacentral:lncRNA from 1 species
UUUUGCUUCUUAGGGCCACACCUGCAGCAUACGGAAGUACCCAGACUAGGGGUCGACAGCCGCAGCACACAAGCAGAUCAGAGCUGCAUCUGCGACCUACACCACAGCUCACAGCAAAGUCAGAUCCCUAACCCAUUGAGCAAGGCCAGGGAUCGCAUCUGCAUCCUCAUGGAUACUAGUCAGGUUUGUUUCCACUGAGCCACAAGGGGAACUCUUUUUUUUAGGAUCUCCGCUUUCAGAUAAUCCCCACUGACGUAGAUCUAGUUUGGAUGUUCCAGCCAAACUGAACCUUCAUUGUUCACAUGAACAAAUCCCCUGCGGGUUCUUUAAGCUCACCUCUGCCAUGAAGCCACCUUUCUCUGACUCCUCUUUCCUUUAUUCCACCAUCAACUGCACAAUUUCUGAACCCUCACUCAGUAUGUCCCUGCCUUCCCUUUGGUACAUCUCUCCUUCUACUUUGCAUUUUAAUUGUUUUUAUAAACAGCCCACUUCCCUAUUAUAUUGUAAGCUUUCUGAAGGCACAUUCCAUGUCUAAUUAACUUGCCUUUGUCUCUCCAUAACCAAUGAAAAAGCCUAAAGAAAAGUGACAUACAGUAAAUAUUUCUUGAAUCCAUAGAGUUUGCCAGUGAUUUGGUAACCCUGAAUCGCUCUGGGAGGAGAGUCUGAUAAAGGUUUUUUAUUUCUAUAAAUAUUUAGAAUCCUAUUUUUAUAAUAAGCACAGUCUGGAAACAAUAUUCUUUCAAAUGAAAAAUGCCACAUUAGAUGAGUGAGUCAUGGAGCUUCAGAAUCUCUUUCACACCUUUUAUAAGUUACCUAAGCAUGGUUCUUUCUGUAGUUCAUUUGGAGAAAAGGUAUCUAUUUUCCCUACUCACAAGGACAUCUGUGUUCUCAUUUGAUGAGAGGAACUGAUAUGAAUGAAGGUUGUAGGGUAGACUGUCAUUCAUCAUAAGCAGAGAUGGUAAUAAAUUAACAAUCACAUGGAAUUAACAUAUUUAGAAAAUCACUUAAUCUUUGGGGGUUAAUCUUCCAUUUCUGAAUUUCUAAGAUUAACUGCUCCACAGAGCCUAAGAUCUAUUUUAAGACAAAAACAGAGCAGACUGAAGAGAGACCCCUCAGAGAAGGAAUCCUCAGAUUUCUCGCACCUGUGGUUUUUCAUUGCUCCUAUGGAGAGCUUAGGCUGGUGGACACAGGGAGCUUGAAGGACUCCUUGGGGAGGUUGUGUUGGAACAGUAGAGUUAUUAAAUAGCUAAAAUGUCAUGGGCAAUAGAUCUAGGUUACAAAGACAAUACAAAGAAAGGUUUCCAAAAUAAUGUCCCCACCUGUAACUGAACGCAGCAGUGAUGAAUAUAAUCCUCAACAGCAGGCAAUAUGAAAAAAAGUUGCUGGGCUCUGGAAUGUAUUAUAAGUAGUCUUUGAAUUCCUAUUCAGCCUAUUCAGAACUUUCUCUUCAUUUCACAAAAUCCUGAAACUUAUUAUUCUAGUAAUGAGUUCAUGUCUCAUCCUCUAUGCAGUUUGUUUUAAUCAAGAGAAAAGAAAAUAGUUUAAAAUUCCAGAAAAGCUUUUAAGAGCAAUAUGCAUCAUACAGAGUACUGUACCCAUUUACCUUCCGUCAUAGUCUGAUCUUCUUGCUCCUCGUAUGUACACAAACCCAAUUUUCUAAAUUCCAAGAUGGUAAAUUGCUUCUGGUAACGAUCUUGAAAUGUUGAGGGAAGACAACCCCCCCCCAAAUUAAACUUUAGCUCUUUAAAUGAUUAACUAAUACUUAUUCCAGUUAGUAAUGACUUAUAACAAAUUAUUCCAAAAUGCAGUGGUCUGAAACAACCAUUUUUUAUGUUCAUGGAGCCUGUGGGUCAGGAAUUCAGACAGAGCAGAGCGAGGAUGGCCUGUCUGCUUCACACUGUCAGAGGCCCCAGCGGAAAGGUUCCAAAGCCAGGGGCUGGAAUCCAUCACUCAUGGGUCUGGUGGUAGAUGUGAGCAUUUGGCUGGAAGCCUCAUCCUCUUUAGUGGGCCUUUCCAUGUUGGCUAGUUUGGGCCUCCUCCCAGCAUGAUGGCAAUCUAAGGUCAAGAAUCCAGAAAAAGGGCCAGGCAGAAGCUGUACCAACAUUUAUGAGCCAGCCUGAAAAAUCAGACAACACAGUCCAUGUACUGAGGCAGCCACAAAAUCCCACCCAGUCUCAAGAAGAGGAGAAAAAGACACUGCCUAUUAGCAAGGAUCUGGGAUUGCCUGUGGGACUGGGAUCUUGUUGUAGCCACCUGUGAUGAGGGUUUUUGACUUUGGCUUCCCUGUAGGGUGAGCAGCUUAGCUGUUUGGGGGGAAGCCGCAGUUUUGGUAUUUGCAUUUGGGAUAAUCAGAUUCCUUAAAGCAUUUUCCUUGAAUUUCCUGCUUGGGGCAUUUGUGUUCUAGGAGACUCAGGGCUAGAAGGAAAAAGGACUGGGGAACUUGGCACUCGACAUUCAAUACAUAUAAUACAUAGAGAGUUUGAUUACCUCCUUGUUUUCAGUAGGAUGCUGUCAACUUCAAUUACACCAACAUCUGCAGCAGCCAACCCCCAACCUAAAAUUCUGCUUUGCCCUCUUCAGAGAAUGAACCUCUAGUUUUAUGUGGGAUUGGGAGGGUCAAUGACACAGGGGCACAGAUUUUGGAAGAUCCAGAGACCUGAUUGCUUUGCCAACAGUUUUUACCCGAUUCUAUUUAUUUAUUUUCAUGGCCAGCACUCCGCCCAGUCUCAGGAGAAAAUGGAGCUGCUCCUCCUAUGCAUGCUGAGAGAUCUGCAAUAGGUAAUAAGUCGAUGCCUUGCUUUCUCCACUCUGGUUUUGCAUCCAGCUGUUCAGCUGGGCCAGCCCAUUUACCAUUGGUCUGUAGCUUUCCAGCUUUCAAAUAUGACUGUUGUCUUUUCUCCUUAUUUCCCAAGUCUUUGAAUCUCUUCCCUGUGGCUUCGGUGGGUUUUGACAGGAAGUGAGUUGAAAUGUGUGUAUUGGAGCCGCCUGGGAGUCUUCUAGCCUCUUCAACCACUGUUCUGGUGAGAUGACUGCAAACCCAUAAAGAUGCUAUCUGCUCUUCUUUCAACAUGCCCCAGGUUUUUCAGUAACUCUCUUAAAGUGUACUAGCACCUCCGACUGAAUGUCAGGUGUGUUCUAACCAGUACAAGCUAUAAUUGCUACUUUUUUUGUUUUAUACACUCAACUCAGCACUUCCAAACUGUGUUAGACAGUGAGAAUAUCCAACAGAUAUUCUGAAAAAAAUUUGGAAAAUACCACGCAUCCUCCUCUCAUUUAUGAUAUACAGCAAAAAAGAAAUAUGCUUUGUUUUUGAACCCAGUUUUUCCAAAACAUUUGACUUUUUAAUGCCUCUUUUGGAGAACAUCUUAUAAGACUUCAGUGCAAUGUUAUUACUCAAAGAGGCAUUCACGAGCCACCUGCAUCAUGAGGUUCUUUUAUAUAUUUGUAUACCUUUGGCCCAAUCCCAGAUCUUGAAUCAGAUUGAGCCUUGGGAAUCUGCACUUUAAAACAAAUGACUAAUUCUUUUUCAACUGAGUAUUACUGGAGAGUCUGCUCUCCACUAUUUGAACUUCAUAUAGUGGAGCUCUUCUCUCGGUCCCUCCCCCAAGCCUUACACACUUACUCUUUUAAGGAUGAAUGACUUUCCUGAGUGAUGAACUCGGAAAAGUAAAACAGGCACAAUGGCCCCAGACCCUGCAUCUCUCUCUUCUCUCAGGGAACUGCCUGCCUGCCAGGAGAAUACAUUUGACUCUGUCAGGGGGGGGCGGGGGGGGGUCUACCUGAGAGAGGCAUGUGUGAUUAUCCAACUGCUCCAGAGACUGGGUGGAGAGAGUAUCUAAUAUGGGAUGGAUCCAGUAGAAAAUCCCUUUACUCGAAGUAUUAAGGUGAUGGUUUAUUCUUCAUGUACCUAUGCCCUUUCUCAACUAGUUCCAAACACAGACACAUUAUAAAUUGAAAGGAAUGUCAUACAUUGUUACACAUACAAUGUUAUAUACCUCAAAUCCCAAGUUUAUAUUUAAGGAUAACUCACUUAGAGGCAAGCU